rnacentral:rRNA from 1 species
AUGACACAAAAUUAUCAGGAUUUGCUUACCUUAAUUACCAAUCACAUCACACAGAUUUGGCAGAAUCUUCAUAUUGAAGGAAAUGGUCUUAUUGAGGAGGUUCAAACUUUGCCAAAAGGCGCGGGAUUCUUUAUAAUUGAAUUGCUCGCUCCACUUAGUUGGAUUCAAGAUAAUGAUGGUCCUGUUAGGUUACUUUUUAGUUUUGAUAAUCUUUAUUGCAUUGGGUUCUUUAGAAAUGAAAAUUGGUUUAUCUUUAGUGAUCAUUACAAGGAUAUGAAGGAUGUUCUCGAAGGAACUAUAGCGAGACCUCUUAGUUUUUCUGGCAACUACAACAAGUUAAAUGCCGACUUCUUCAACAUCCAUCUAGGGGUUCAGGCUCUCUUUCAGACUUACAAAGGAAUAGCAGGUUAUCCUGGGUCCCUCAUCAAAGUUCCUCUAUUGACGAGUUGCAUUACCUUUUCAGAGCCUCUUAGAUUUCCAGCAUUUCGUCAGUACAUGAUCAGCAAAAUGUCGACGUAUGAUUCUCCUCCAGGAAGCAUUACGGAGUUUUCUAUUCAUUUUACAAAUUGGUCAAAUUAUUGUGACAUUAUUCGUGAAGGCAGGGCACAGUUCGAUCCUCUUAAUGCGUUUGGCAUACAAAGUUAUGAUGAUCUUUUGGGCCUUGUUGGGAUGAUACUGUAG